GAUGAACGCUGGCGGCGUGCCUAAUACAUGCAAGUCGAGCGAAUGGAUUGAGAGCUUGCUCUUAUGAAGUUAGCGGCGGACGGGUGAGUAACACGUGGGUAACCUGCCCAUAAGACUGGGAUAACUCCGGGAAACCGGGGCUAAUACCGGCUAACAUUUUGAACCGCAUGGUUCGAAAUUGAAAGGCGGCUUCGGCUGUCACUUAUGGAUGGACCCGCGUCGCAUUAGCUAGUUGGUGAGGUAACGGCUCACCAAGGCAACGAUGCGUAGCCGACCUGAGUGGGUGAACGGCCAAACUGGGACUGGGACACGGCCCAGACUCCUACGGGAGGCAGCAGUAGGGAAUCUGCCGCAAUGGACGAAAGUCUGACGGAGCAACGCCGCGUGAGUGAUGAAGGCUUUCGGGUCGUAAAACUCUGUUGUUAGGGAAGAACAAGUGCCAGUUGAAUAAGCUGGCACCUUGACGGUACCUAACCAGAAAGCCACGGCUAACUACGUGCCAGCCGCCGCGGUAA
rnacentral:rRNA from 1 species